CUGCGGGGAUGAUUCUUCCGUUGAACUCUCUCUUGCUGAUGGGCUAGUGGAGAGAAACUUUUUAGA